CCUACGGGGGGCAGCAGUGGGGAAUAUUGGACAAUGGGGGAAACCCUGAUCCAGCGACGCCGCGUGAGUGAAGAAGUAUUUCGGUACGUAAAGCUCUAUCAGCAGGAAAGAAAAUGACGGUACCUGACUAAGAAGCCCCGGCUAACUACGUGCCAGCAGCCGCGGUAAUACGUAGGGGGCAAGCGUUAUCCGGAUUUACUGGGUGUAAAGGGAGCGUAGACGGCAGCGCAAGUCUGGAGUAAAAUGCCGGGGCCCAACCCCGGAACUGCUCUGGAAACUGGGAGGCUGGGGUGCAGGAGAGGGAGGCGGAAUGCCGGGGGUGGGGGGGAAAUGCGUGGAUAUCAGGAGGAACACCGGCGGCGAGGGCGGCUAACGGGACUGUAACUGACGUUGAGGCUCGAAGGCGUGGGGAGCAAACAGGAUUAGAUACCGGGUAGUC
rnacentral:rRNA from 1 species